UUUAUACACAUAAUUUAAGAUGUUGAGGAAGAAAUAUAUUUAUUUUUUAAUACUUGUUGUGGUCUUAGGCUUGCAAGGGACAACUUUAGAUGCAAACCAAACUUGCUCGGAGUCUAUUGUGUCCUUGGUGCCAUGUUUACCUUUUUUGCAAGGAUAUGGUCUGGAAACACUUUCUCAGUAUUGUUGUGGCGAAAUAAAUCAUUUAUUUCAAAAGGCGAAUACUCCUGAGAUUCGACGCAAUCUUUGUCAAUGUCUUAAAAAUGCUUCAAAAAGAUUUGAAAUUAAAUCUGACCAAGCAAAACAACUCCCUCAACUUUGUAACAUUUAUAUUUCAUUUUCAAUUGAUCCUGAUCCUAACAUUGAUUGCAACACGAUUCCAUGAUGCUACAAAUAGGGCAUAUAGAUUUUGAAGAAAGCUAGAAGAGUAACAAUAGAAAAUUUAUAGAAAUAAUUAAUGUGAAAAAUUCUAAUAACUCUUGAAAGUUGGGAAGUUUUCAGUAAUAUAUUACUGAAAAUUUGAAUCAUAUUUAUUUAUUAUCCAUUCUUGAUUUUAAAUCUGAA